CUUUGGUGCUAUAGACAGCAUGUCAGUCUCACAAGCUGAAGGUCUUGAGUUCGAUCCUCAUAAG
rnacentral:tRNA from 1 species